GACGAACGCUGGCGGCGUGCCUAAUACAUGCAAGUAGAACGCUGAAGAGAGGAGCUUGCUCUUCUUGGAUGAGUUGCGAACGGGUGAGUAACGCGUAGGUAACCUGCCUUGUAGCGGGGGAUAACUAUUGGAAACGAUAGCUAAUACCGCAUAACAAUGGAUGACACAUGUCAUUUAUUUGAAAGGGGCAAUUGCUCCACUACAAGAUGGACCUGCGUUGUAUUAGCUAGUAGGUGAGGUAACGGCUCACCUAGGCGACGAUACAUAGCCGACCUGAGAGGGUGAUCAGCCACACUGGGACUGAGACACGGCCCAGACUCCUACGGGAGGCAGCAGUAGGGAAUCUUCGGCAAUGGGGGCAACCCUGACCGAGCAACGCCGCGUGAGUGAAGAAGGUUUUCGGAUCGUAAAGCUCUGUUGUAAGUCAAGAACGAGUGUGAGAGUGGAAAGUUCACACUGUGACGGUAGCUUACCAGAAAGGGACGGCUAACUACGUGCCAGCAGCCGCGGUAAUACGUAGGUCCCGAGCGUUGUCCGGAUUUAUUGGGCGUAAAGCGAGCGCAGGCGGUUUGAUAAGUCUGAAGUUAAAGGCUGUGGCUCAACCAUAGUUCGCUUUGGAAACUGUCAAACUUGAGUGCAGAAGGGGAGAGUGGAAUUCCAUGUGUAGCGGUGAAAUGCGUAGAUAUAUGGAGGAACACCGGUGGCGAAAGCGGCUCUCUGGUCUGUAACUGACGCUGAGGCUCGAAAGCGUGGGGAGCGAACAGGAUUAGAUACCCUGGUAGUCCACGCCGUAAACGAUGAGUGCUAGGUGUUGGAUCCUUUCCGGGAUUCAGUGCCGCAGCUAACGCAUUAAGCACUCCGCCUGGGGAGUACGACCGCAAGGUUGAAACUCAAAGGAAUUGACGGGGGCCCGCACAAGCGGUGGAGCAUGUGGUUUAAUUCGAAGCAACGCGAAGAACCUUACCAGGUCUUGACAUCCCGAUGCUAUUUCUAGAGAUAGAAAGUUACUUCGGUACAUCGGUGACAGGUGGUGCAUGGUUGUCGUCAGCUCGUGUCGUGAGAUGUUGGGUUAAGUCCCGCAACGAGCGCAACCCCUAUUGUUAGUUGCCAUCAUUCAGUUGGGCACUCUAGCGAGACUGCCGGUAAUAAACCGGAGGAAGGUGGGGAUGACGUCAAAUCAUCAUGCCCCUUAUGACCUGGGCUACACACGUGCUACAAUGGUUGGUACAACGAGUUGCGAGUCGGUGACGGCAAGCUAAUCUCUUAAAGCCAAUCUCAGUUCGGAUUGUAGGCUGCAACUCGCCUACAUGAAGUCGGAAUCGCUAGUAAUCGCGGAUCAGCACGCCGCGGUGAAUACGUUCCCGGGCCU
rnacentral:rRNA from 1 species